UACACACCGCCCGUCACACCACGAAAAGCCCCGCUGCAACAGAAGUCAGUGCUCCAACCCGCAAGGGGGGAAAACUGCCAAAAGUUGUGGUUGGUGAUUGGGGUGAAGUCGUAACAAGGUACCC
rnacentral:rRNA from 1 species